rnacentral:rRNA from 1 species
GACAGAGGAUGCAAGCGUUAUCCGGAAUGAUUGGGCGUAAAGCGUCUGUAGGUGGCUUUUUAAGUCCGCCGUCAAAUCCCAGGGCUCAACCCUGGACAGGCGGUGGAAACUACCAAGCUGGAGUACGGUAGGGGCAGAGGGAAUUUCCGGUGGAGCGGUGAAAUGCGCAGAUAUCAGGAGGAACACCAAUGGCGAAGGCAGCUCGCUGGGACGUGACUGACGCUGAGACGCGAAAGCGUGGGGAGCAAACAGG